UCCUCUUUCUCUUCCGUCUCUCACAAAAAAAUAUUCUGGAGCCCUAGAACUCCAUUAUUGAUUUCCUUGAAUCGAUCCCACUCAUGAAUAUUAACAUGGUAUCAGAGCAGGAAUUUGUUAGAUCUUGCUUAUCUACGUAGAACAGUGUUACCCCUAUCUGAUUUUUUCCAUUUUUCAUCGAGAUCUAUUUUCAUUGGAGCUUCAUGAUUUUUUUUGUGAUUUCCCGGCAAAAACACUUGGUUCCUUUGCAAUUGAGUCUACUUUACGAUGUAGAUUGUACUGAAACUCUGUGUUGUGGCUGCUGGC
rnacentral:lncRNA from 1 species